rnacentral:lncRNA from 1 species
UCUGCUCUUUAUUUGUAAUUUUGUUUCUCAUUUAAGAGUGAUAUUUAAACUUGUGUGUCUGCGAUGGUUUCGCUUAACUGACCCAAAUUUAUCCUUUUUUAUGGCAGAGUAGUACUCCCCCACGUACGAAUACCACACUUUAUCCAUUUAUCAGCUUGAUGGACGUUGAGGUUGACUUGAUUUUUGUUUCAUUUCUUGAGACAGGGUCCGGUGGGAAUCCUGUGGGCAUCCUGGAGCCAGUUUCCCAAGGUGCAGCCCGGCCUGCGUACCACAGAGACACCCCCCCAGCCAUGUUACUUUCCUGUAAUUUUCCUCCUGGAAACUCACCUUCUGCAACGCUGUUACUCAUUAACUCGCAGGCAGCCUUGACCUGGCUGCCCGGUGGCAGUGGUCCCCCUGACCCCUGCUCCGAGGGUGCUGGGGACUCCUGCUCUCAGAGCACCAGGCAGGAUCCUGGAUUCCGGAUCUGCAGGGUCCCCCGGGCACUCGGGCCACUGGUCCCUGUCUCUAUUCCUCCUCCAAACUGCAGGCCCAUGGCCACGGAAGCACCUUUCUGGUCUGGGGUGAGAAUCCAGCCACACCAGGCAAAUGGAAAACAUGGCCACUUGACCACAGUCAGAGCAGCUGUUUGUUCACGGCCACUCUGCUCGGUUCUGACAAUGGCCCUGACCCCUCCCCUGCUAAAUCCCCAUCUUAUUCUUGAACCCAGAUGCUGACCGAGCUUCUGCCUGGAAUCUUUCUCCCAGCGCCUCCUUCCUUCUGUCCCCUCUCCCACCGACUCAGGAGCCCGAGGUUGGAGGAUCACCUGAGUUACUCUGGACAAUACAGGGAGGCCUUAUUUUUUUAAUUCCAGAAAUAAACCAUUUUAAAGUUUUGCAUUGUGUACUGGUCUGAGUGGUGUGGUAAAAUCUCCCCUGGACUUGAAUCAUUCCUUUGACCAGUGUCUCCACCUUGUAGAUGCUACCCUCCCGUUACUCAUUAGUAACUGUCUUGUCAGGUUGAUUACUGAGGAAUCAGAAUCCUUGUGUUCAACUAACACUCAUUUUACUUAAUAAUGGCCCCCAACCA